UACGUAGGGUGCAAGCGUUGUCCGGAAUUAUUGGGCGUAAAGAGCUCGUAGGCGGUUUGUUGCGUCGGCUGUGAAAUCCCGAGGCUCAACCUCGGGUCUGCAGUCGAUACGAGCAAACUAGAGUGUUGCAGGGGAGACUGGAAUUCCUGGUGUAGCGGUGAAAUGCGCAGAUAUCAGGAGGAACACCGGUGGCGAAGGCGGCAUCCCUGGACCGGUAUUGAC
rnacentral:rRNA from 1 species